CUGAUGGAAGCAGGAGCCCAACCACACCUGAAGGAACACAUGCUCCCUGACGUGGCUUUUGGGUUAGCAGUGAUACACAACAGUGAUACACAAGAAAGAUCUGAUCUGAUCUAGGGGUUCUUCUCAUCCUCUGCAGCAGUUUUGGUGAGGACCUGGGACAUGCACUUGACAUACUGAACAGAUGAGUCAAAAAGAAGCCCUUUGUCCACCUCCCGUGGAUUAGAGCGAUGUUUGUAAACUUCCGUGGACAGCUGAGAUCAUUCCGACAGAGUUUUCCAAAGGAAUUUCCCUGUGUUCUCAGCCACAUAAUUUGCUCAGUAAAACCGGCAGCAGAA